GUCGCAGGCGGUGGCGAGCUGGGAUCUUCGGCCGGCCUUCACCAGUGACCUUCCUUGGAGUGAAAGCGAAGUGAAGUGAAGCCGCGACAAGAUAAUGGCUGGUCGAGCUGUUGCAGAGUGGUGGUUUAAAAUGAAACCUUAUGCCAUAGCUUACAGGGAAUUAUGGCCUAGUUUAGCUAUCACCUCUAUCUUAUUUUACAAGCUAUCAUAUGGAGGUAAAAAGGCAGUAAAAGACAAAUCUUCCAGUCAAGGACAUUGAUACAACCAGAGGCUGGGAAAUCCUGUAAGCCCAUCACUGAUUGAAAUAGUUCCAGAAGAAGGAAUAUCAUCUGGAAGAAUACUGCAUGUUUUGUACAAAUGUGAUGCCCCCAUGCAUGUUUAUGCAAUGAAAGUAAUAAAAUGUUGCUUCAGAGAUA